AUUGAACGCUGGCGGCAGGCCUAACACAUGCAAGUCGAACGAGUGGCGGACGGGUGAGUAAUGUCUGGGAAACUGCCUGAUGGAGGGGUAUAACUACUGGAAACGGUAGCUAAUCCCGCAUACCCUCAUAUAUGCCCAGAUGGGAUGAGCUAGUUGGUGGGGUAACGGAUCACCAAGGCGACGAUCCCUAGCUGGUCUGAGAGGAUGACCGGCCACACUGGAACUGAGACACGGUCCAGACUCCUACGGGAGGCAGCAGUGGGGAUUAUUGCACAAUGGGCGCAAGCCUGAUGCAGCAAUGCCGCGUGUAUGAAGAAGGCCUUCGGGUUGUAAAGUACUUGCAGCGGGGAGGCGUUACCCGCAGAAGAAGCACCGGCUAACUACGUGCCAGCAGCCGCGGUAAUUC
rnacentral:rRNA from 1 species